AUCAAGCAUCAAGAGAAGAACUAAUACUCAAUGGUUCUCGCCAACCUGCUAAACCUGGUAAGGUGGUCGAGUAAAAGAUGUGGCUUCGCAGCAAUUAAGAGGUCAAU
rnacentral:ncRNA from 1 species